AUAUAUAUAGAGAGACUUUUAGAAGUUUAGUAUUCUAGCUUAAUCACUUUCAAUAAGUGUAGUGAUUCCCCUAGAUAGACUGUAGUUCACUUCGGGAACAUUGCAGCGCUACUAAACAAUUCAAGAGCAAUGUAUAACAUUGUUGUGUUUGUAAUGGUGCUUGGGGUGUCCCUAGCCAACAACUGCGGUGAUGCGCCAGACACAAAUGGUUGCAAUGCUUGGGACAUUGUUCCUUACAAGCACAAAUUUACACCAGCUUGCAACAAGCACGAUGUCUGUUAUUCAUGUGGAGACACGUUCCCUGACGUAAGCUUGUCACGAUGUAACGAAGCAUUCCUAGAUGACAUGUAUGACAUUUGUGGCGGCGGUUGGUUUUGCAGAUCGUGGGCUAAAAUUUAUUACAAAGCUGUUGACAUGUUUGGUCAUGGUUACAAAAGACCCUCCCACCCUUGGUGUAAACAAGAAACUUGGUUUAGGACUAAAUGUAUGCCAUAAACCUGAUGCUGAAAACGCCGACUAGUGACUUUUUAUGAAACAUUAUAAACAGUAUACAUUCGUUAUUUUUCGAAAUUCUUUGUUCAAUAAAGUGAAUAUGCAUUAAACAAACUGUAUGAAGUAUUUAGUCGACAUUGAAAAAAAUAAAAAGAUUAAAUUAAUCCAAAUAAAACUGUA
rnacentral:lncRNA from 1 species